rnacentral:rRNA from 1 species
UAGGGAAUCUUCCACAAUGGACGCAAGUCUGAUGGAGCAACGCCGCGUGAGUGAAGAAGGUCUUCGGAUCGUAAAGCUCUGUUGUUGGUGAAGAAGGAUAGAGGCAGUAACUGGUCUUUAUUUGACGGUAAUCAACCAGAAAGUCACGGCUAACUACGUGCCAGCAGCCGCGGUAAUACGUAGGUGGCAAGCGUUGUCCGGAUUUAUUGGGCGUAAAGCGAGCGCAGGCGGAAUGAUAAGUCUGAUGUGAAAGCCCACGGCUCAACCGUGGAACUGCAUCGGAAACUGUCAUUCUUGAGUGCAGAAGAGGAGAGUGGAACUCCAUGUGUAGCGGUGGAAUGCGUAGAUAUAUGGAAGAACACCAGUGGCGAAGGCGGCUCUCUGGUCUGCAACUGACGCUGAGGCUCGAAAGCAUGGGUAGCGAACAGGAUUAGAUACCCUGGUAGUCCAUGCCGUAAACGAUGAGCGCUAGGUGUUGGGGGACUUUCCGGUCCUCAGUGCCACAGCAAACGCAUUAAGCGCUCCGCCUGGGGAGUACGACCGCAAGGUUGAA